rnacentral:sRNA from 1 species
GAGAGGGCGUGGCGAGGGAAGCAGAGGAGCGCAACAGAGGAAGUCCACCUGGGAUGAUAUCCAACAACUCAUGAGAGUGUUCUUCAUGAUCAAAGAGAGAGAGAGGAUAGUACAGGAAGCCAGAAAAAAAAGUCCCAGGGUUACCAUUGAUUACCAGGCUAUCAUCGACAGCAGAUUUGACUAGACCUGACUGGGACUUAAUAUGGCAGGAGGUAUCUUCAGCACCCGUCCUGGACAAAUGACACCAACGUGGGGCAUAAGAGGAGUUUCAAGUUCUCAGGAGAAGCAGGGACAGGACAUUCUUGAAAAUCC